UAAUACGGAGGGUGCAAGCGUUAUCCGGAUUUAUUGGGUUUAAAGGGUCCGUAGGUGGGAUUGUAAGUCAGUGGUGAAAUCUUUCGGCUCAACCGAAAAACUGCCAUUGAUACUGCAGUUCUUGAAUAUGCUCGAGGUAGGCGGAAUGUGUCAUGUAGCGGUGAAAUGCAUAGAUAUGACACAGAACACCGAUAGCGAAGGCAGCUUACCAGAUCAUUAUUGACACUGAGGGACGAAAGCGUGGGGAGCGAACAGGAUUAGAUACCCUGGUAGUCCACGCCGUAAACGAUGAUCACUAGACAUUGGCGACAUACAGUCGGUGUCAAAGCGAAAGUAUUAAGUGAUCCACCUGGGGAGUACGAUCGCAAGAUUG
rnacentral:rRNA from 1 species